GGGGCUCCGGGGCGAGCCGAGGGCUCUAAGGUCCCGGAGCCCCGCCGAACGGAGCCGUGCUCGGGACAGGUCGCGCCCCUCCUCCCCCCUUCCGCAGGCCGCUGAACUCGCCGCGCCCGGUGGCCUGCGCCCUGGACUGUGCGUGCCGCGAAGCCAGCCUUUAAAGCACAGGUGCCCCCUGCACCGGGAAGGGCCAGCUAGGAUUCCAAGGCGACGGGGUCUCCCCUUCCAGGGACAGCAGGAGUUCCCAGGAAGUAAGACCUACCCAACAGGAGAAAACGGAAUCUGUGCAAUCAGCUCUGGAAGCUACGGUGACUGGAAUCCUUGGAGCUUUGGGAGGGAAGAAGAGGGUGCAAAGAAGCAGCUCUAUCUGGAGUCAGCCUGUCCUGCUGCCACAGGUGAUUUCAUGAAGACAGCAUGGGGCAAGCGAGAGGAAUGUUGUUCUUUUCUGGCACGAAUACCCCUGAAGGAAAAAAUACGGGAGUUUAUAGAGUCUUGUGAGAGUUACAAACACUGUAAAUCAAAAAGCAAAGCCACGCCGUGAAGAUAGGAGUUAGAAAAGUUUGGACAGCCUCCCAGAUGGCUCCGACAGGGUAAGGCUCCUCUCUGGCCUUCGCUACGUGAAGCUGGGGGAGAGUCAGAGCGAAGCAAAGGACGGGCUACGUGCUCCCCUUGCUCUCCUGGGCUCGCCGUUCCCAAGCGUUGGGGAUUGUGUGUGUAAAUGUGUGGCUUAAUUUUUGUCCCCUUCACUUUAAAGUAAUGAGUGUAGGAGAGAAGCACUUUCUCAGGACCACUCUGCACACCAAGAGAUAUACUGUGGCUUUUUUUCCCCCUAGAGACUCUCAGAGGACAGUUAAAGGGGUUUAUUUAAUAUGCAAGGGCUCAUUUAUGAGAUGAUUAGAACAAAAGGCAUAAUUUGAACUUGCACGUAUACUACAACCUCACAAAAGUACAGAAAGUCUAGAGAAAUGUUCUGGAGGGAAAUCUAAAAUGUUAGCAACUGUGACCUUCAGGUUAAUAUUGUCUCUGCCUUAAAAAAAAUCUUGUGGGCGCCUGGGUGGCUCAGUCUGUUAAGCCUCCAACUUAGGCUCAGGUCAGAUCUCACGUUCGUGGGUUCGAGCCCCACGUCGUGCUCUGUGCUGACAGCUAGCUCAGAGCCUGGAGCCUGCUUCACAUUCUGUGUCUUCUUCUCUCUCUACCCCUCCCCGUAUCAUGCUCUCUUUCUGUAUCAAAAAUAAAUAAAACAUUUUUUUAAAAAUUAAAAAAAAA
rnacentral:lncRNA from 1 species